AGGUGCUUAAAGGUGUGCUGCUCUCCACAGUUCGGGGCAGAGACUGGGAGCUCACACAGAGAGGGUGUUUCUUUGAGUUUCAUUUCAUUUCAUUUUAGUUUUGUUUUGUUUCUUUAACCAUGAUGGGGGAAAUUAAGCCUCCAAUGAAAAGUAGGAGGAGUGGAUCUGUUCAUGUGUGAAACAAUGGCUUUUUGACCAAUCAGAAUCGAGUCUCCAACAAAGCCUCAGCAAAAGAUCUUUUUCAUGAUUGUAAGGCACUUACUCAUUUACAUAUCUUUUUAUUUUGCCAGUUUCAAAGCUGUAUUCUUGGUGGAGUAAAUAACAAAAAGAACAACACACAAACACAAGGAUUAGACCAGUUCCCAUGUGUGUUGAAUUUUAAAGGGGAGGUUAGGUGUUUGGAUACAAAUUCUAUGGAUUUUUUUAAUAGAACUGGAAGCAGCAGAGUGAAUAGCGACAUAGCUACGAGGUGUUGCUAGCAGCGAAGGCUUAAAGUCAAAUCAAAGGGAACAGGCCGGCAUUCAGACUGCACGGCCCAGGGGUUAAAUCCAGCAUUCUUGUCUGGACAUCACUGGCCUCAUUGAGUUCUCUGUGGACCUCCAGCGAAGGGCAGCGGGUUCCUGACGACCGUCUGUGCUAAUCCGUCCUUUCUCGCCCACCCCGUGCGUCAUGUGAGCCCACCUUUCGGGAGAAAAGGAAACGGCCACGGAUCUGACCCGACGCCAAGCCUUACGCCACCGGAGUCAGAUCCCAGGCCCGGAAACAAAAGCGUCUCUCUUCCAAACUGGCAGUGGAUUCAUUCGCAUUGAUCCCGAAAGCCUUUUUACAGUAAAGAGGGUCGCCCCCUUGAACUACGUGUGAUUCGUAAAGGGCCUGCAUCCUGUUAAAGCGCUACGGGAGCACAAGCCCUGCCUUCAGCCAAUGAGAGAUGGAACUGCGGGGCUUGGGGUCGAACGCUGCCAGAUCUUUACCUCACUCUGCAUGAGGAGACUCCAAAUGAAGAGCGCACAGCCGGCUGCCAGGGAAAUCACACUUAGCAUGCCAGAGGCAUAUGCGCCAUUUUAGAUAUACAAAUCAUCCAUUAAAAAAAAUGUAUCAAAACAGGGCUGGUCUGAACCUCUCUGAAAGCCUACCCCGCGUCUAUCUGCAUGGGUUAGAGGUACUGUGAAUCAGUGCAGACGUCUGGUACUGAGCCCCUGGGGUGCAGAUAUUGCAAUGCCAAACCUGCAGACAAACCCCCUCUUCCCUGAGAGGAUUUCACACUUCAGGUGACAGGACGAUUCGGAGCAGCGCCAGGUGGGUGACCUCGGGGGUCGGCAGCCUCGACAGAGAGCGCUCUUCGGUUCGGGCGCGAGAAAGAAAACAUGUUCUAAUCUCAGUCAUCCAAAGAGUGCUAUCCAAUUUCAGCCGCUGCCUGGAAAGCAGAUCUGAUUAAUCCGGCCUGUGUGGGCCAAAGCGCUUGAAUAUCUCUUUGGAAAAGUUUCUGUAAAAGAAGAUCGAGAGGACAUUAUAUUUCUGUAUAGAUGCAGGAGUAAAUAUGAACGUCAUGUGUAUGAUUGGAAUGUACACACACACACACACACACACACACACACGUGUUACGGUGAGCUAAGAAGGCUGAUUUUUUUUAAAAUGCAGGUAAUGAGCUGUAUUGUAUGUUCAAAAAAUAGAAAAAAUAUUUUCUAUAAUACUCAGUUA